rnacentral:rRNA from 1 species
GUCCACGCUGUAAACGAUGUCGAUUUGGAGUUUGUGCCAUUAUGAGCGUGGGUUCCGAAGCUAACGCGAUAAAUCGACCGCCUGGGGAGUACGGCCGCAAGGUUAAACUCAAAUGAAUUGACGGGGGCCCGCACAAGCGGUGGAGCAUGUGGUUUAAUUCGAUGCAACGCGAAGAACCUUACCUGGCCUUGACAUGCUGAGAAGUCUGUAGAGAUACGGAUGUGCCUUUCGGGAACUCAGACACAGGUGCUACAUGGCUGUCGU